GACGAACGCUGGCGGCGUGCCUAAUACAUGCAAGUUGAGCGCUGAAGGUUGGUACUUGUACCAACUGGAUGAGCAGCGAACGGGUGAGUAACGCGUGGGGAAUCUGCCUUUGAGCGGGGGACAACAUUUGGAAACGAAUGCUAAUACCGCAUAAAAACUUUAAACACAAGUUUUAAGUUUGAAAGAUGCAAUAGCAUCACUCAAAGAUGAUCCCGCGUUGUAUUAGCUAGUUGGUGAGGUAAAGGCUCACCAAGGCGAUGAUACAUAGCCGACCUGAGAGGGUGAUCGGCCACAUUGGGACUGAGACACGGCCCAAACUCCUACGGGAGGCAGCAGUAGGGAAUCUUCGGCAAUGGACGAAAGUCUGACCGAGCAACGCCGCGUGAGUGAAGAAGGUUUUCGGAUCGUAAAACUCUGUUGGUAGAGAAGAACGUUGGUGAGAGUGGAAAGCUCAUCAAGUGACGGUAACUACCCAGAAAGGGACGGCUAACUACGUG
rnacentral:rRNA from 1 species